rnacentral:rRNA from 1 species
CAGCAGCCACGGUAAUACGAGGGGAGCUAGCGUUGUUCGGAAUUACUGGGCGUAAAGCGCGCGUAGGCGGCUUUUUAAGUCAGAGGUGAAAGCCCGGGGCUCAACCCCGGAAUUGCCUUUGAAACUGGAAAGCUAGAAUCUUGGAGAGGUCAGUGGAAUUCCGAGUGUAGAGGUGAAAUUCGUAGAUAUUCGGAAGAACACCAGUGGCGAAGGCGACUGACUGGACAAGUAUUGACGCUGAGGUGCGAAAGCGUGGGGAGCAAACAGGAUUAGAUACCCCAGUAGUCCCUGUCUCUUAUAC